UAGCGCCUCGUGAAUUCAUCUCCGGGGGUAGAGCACUGUUUCGGCUAGGGGGCCAUCCCGGCUUACCAACCCGAUGCAAACUGCGAAUACCGGAGAAUGUUAUCACGGGAGACACACGGCGGGUGCUAACGUCCGUCGUGAAGAGGGAAACAACCCAGACCGCCAGCUAAGGUCCCAAAGUCAUGGUUAAGUGGGAAACGAUGUGGGAAGGCCCAGACAGCCAGGAUGUUGGCUUAGAAGCAGCCAUCAUUUAAAGAAAGCGUAAUAGCUCACUGGUCGAGUCGGCCUGCGCGGAAGAUGUAACGGGGCUAAACCAUGCACCGAAGCUGCGGCAGCGACACUGUGUGUUGUUGGGUAGGGGAGCGUUCUGUAAGCCUGUGAAGGUGUGUCGUGAGGCAUGCUGGAGGUAUCAGAAGUGCGAAUGCUGACAUAAGUAACGAUAAAGCGGGUGAAAAGCCCGCUCGCCGGAAGACCAAGGGUUCCUGUCCAACGUUAAUCGGGGCAGGGUGAGUCGACCCCUAAGGCGAGGCCGAAAGGCGUAGUCGAUGGGAAACGGGUUAAUAUUCCCGUACUUGGUGUUACUGCGAAGGGGGGACGGAGAAGGCUAUGUUGGCCGGGCGACGGUUGUCCCGGUUUAAGCGUGUAGGUGUGUGUUCCAGGUAAAUCCGGUUCACUUUAACACUGAGGCGUGACGACGAGGCACUACGGUGCUGAAGCAACAAAUGCCCUGCUUCCAGGAAAAGCCUCUAAGCAUCAGGUAACAUCAAAUCGUACCCCAAACCGACACAGGUGGUCAGGUAGAGAAUACCAAGGCGCUUGAGAGAACUCGGGUGAAGGAACUAGGCAAAAUGGUGCCGUAACUUCGGGAGAAGGCACGCUGACACGUAGGUGAAGUGAUUUACUCAUGGAGCUGAAGUCAGUCGAAGAUACCAGCUGGCUGCAACUGUUUAUUAAAAACACAGCACUGUGCAAACACGAAAGUGGACGUAUACGGUGUGACGCCUGCCCGGUGCCGGAAGGUUAAUUGAUGGGGUCAGCGCAAGCGAAGCUCCUGAUCGAAGCCCCGGUAAACGGCGGCCGUAACUAUAACGGUCCUAAGGUAGCGAAAUUCCUUGUCGGGUAAGUUCCGACCUGCACGAAUGGCGUAAUGAUGGCCAGGCUGUCUCCACCCGAGACUCAGUGAAAUUGAACUCGCUGUGAAGAUGCAGUGUACCCGCGGCAAGACGGAAAGACCCCGUGAACCUUUACUAUAGCUUGACACUGAACAUUGAGCCUUGAUGUGUAGGAUAGGUGGGAGGCUUUGAAGUGUGGACGCCAGUCUGCAUGGAGCCGACCUUGAAAUACCACCCUUUAAUGUUUGAUGUUCUAACGUGGACCCGUUACCCGGGUUGCGGACAGUGUCUGGUGGGUAGUUUGACUGGGGCGGUCUCCUCCUAAAGAGUAACGGAGGAGCACGAAGGUUGGCUAAUCCUGGUCGGACAUCAGGAGGUUAGUGCAAUGGCAUAAGCCAGCUUGACUGCGAGCGUGACGGCGCGAGCAGGUGCGAAAGCAGGUCAUAGUGAUCCGGUGGUUCUGAAUGGAAGGGCCAUCGCUCAACGGAUAAAAGGUACUCCGGGGAUAACAGGCUGAUACCGCCCAAGAGUUCAUAUCGACGGCGGUGUUUGGCACCUCGAUGUCGGCUCAUCACAUCCUGGGGCUGAAGUAGGUCCCAAGGGUAUGGCUGUUCGCCAUUUAAAGUGGUACGCGAGCUGGGUUUAGAACGUCGUGAGACAGUUCGGUCCCUAUCUGCCGUGGGCGCUGGAGAACUGAGGGGGGCUGCUCCUAGUACGAGAGGACCGGAGUGGACGCAUCACUGGUGUUCGGGUUGUCAUGCCAAUGGCACUGCCCGGUAGCUAAAUGCGGAAGAGAUAAGUGCUGAAAGCAUCUAAGCACGAAACUUGCCCCGA
rnacentral:rRNA from 2 species